rnacentral:rRNA from 1 species
UACCAGCACCCCGAGUGGUCGGGACGUUUAUUGGGCCUAAAGCAUCCGUAGCCGGUUCUACAAGUCUUCCGUUAAAUCCACCUGCUUAACAGAUGGGCUGCGGAGGAUACUAUAAGACUAGGGGGCAGGAGAGGCAAGCGGUACUCAGUGGGUAGGGGUAAAAUCCGUUGAUCCAUUGAAGACCACCAGUGGCGAAGGCGGCUUGCCAGAAUGCGCUCGACGGUGAGGGAUGAAAGCUGGGGGAGCAAACCGG